AUGGAACCAACAAGGUUGUUCUGUUGGAGGGAAAUGUCAACAAGAGAUGAUGAGUUGAAGAGAGCCUUUGGCAGUUUUCCACCAAGACUAUUGCCAUUGAGCCAAAGUAUUCGGAAGGAUGAACUAUAUGCCAGGGACUCCGGGAUGACCCCUGUUAGAGCGUUCACCCCAAGAUUGACAUAUGUGAGAGAAGGGCUGGUGCCCAAAGAUGGCGGUAUGUUACCUUCCAAAUUGUUCCUGCUGAGGUUGAGCUCACGGAGACGGCGCAGGAGGCCAAUCUCCGAUGGUAUGCCACCACUGAAGUUGUUGUUUGACAGCUGCAGCCUUGUAAUAGAAGUCAGGUUAGCAACGCAAGGUGAUAUGGAGCCUGAUAUGCCUUCCGACUCGAGGUCCAGCGCAAUCACACGGCGAGGAUACGGUUUGCUGCAGGUGAUCCCAUGCCACUCGCAAACAUCAAAGGACUUAUUGCUCCAUGAAGCUAAAACUCGUGCUGGGCCUGAGAGUCUGGACUUGAAGCAAAGGAGGGCCUGUCUAUCAUUUUCAGUUUCCUUGCAGAUGGCUAGUGGUAGGCUGCAAAGGAAGCAAAAGAGGUAUAGAAACCAAACAAAGCUUGGAAACAAGACAGCGGAAGAUGGCAUGGCUGUGGUAGGUUACGGCUAUGGAGUGUAG
rnacentral:rRNA from 1 species